CCUGGCGGCCUUAGCGCGGUGGUCCCACCUGACCCCAUGCCGAACUCAGAAGUGAAACGCCGUAGCGCCGAUGGUAGUGUGGGGUCUCCCCAUGCGAGAGUAGGGAAC
rnacentral:rRNA from 1 species